rnacentral:rRNA from 1 species
UACAGAGGGUGCAAGCGUUGUUCGGAAUUAUUGGGCGUAAAGGGCGCGUAGGCGGUGCGGUAAGUCUGUAGGUGAAAUCUCUGGGCUCAACUCAGAGUCUGCUAUAGAAACUGCCGUGCGUCGAGUGUGGGAGAGGUGAGUGGAAUUCCGGUGUAGCGGUGAAAUGCGUAGAUAUCGGGAGGAACACCUGUGGCGAAAGCGGCUCACUGGACCACAACUGACGCUGAUGCGCGAAAGCUAGGGGAGCAAACAGG